GAUGAACGCUGGCGGCGUGCUUAACACAUGCAAGUCGAACGAAGCACCUUGAUUCGAUUCUUCGGAUGAAGAUCUUGGUGACUGAGUGGCGGACGGGUGAGUAACGCGUGGGUAACCUGCCUCAUACAGGGGGAUAACAGUUAGAAAUGACUGCUAAUACCGCAUAAGACCACAGCACCGCAUGGUGCAGGGGUAAAAACUCCGGUGGUAUGAGAUGGACCCGCGUCUGAUUAGGUAGUUGGUGGGGUAACGGCCUACCAAGCCGACGAUCAGUAGCCGACCUGAGAGGGUGACCGGCCACAUUGGGACUGAGACACGGCCCAAACUCCUACGGGAGGCGGCAGUGGGGAAUAUUGCACAAUGGGGGAAACCCUGAUGCAGCGACGCCGCGUGAGCGAUGAAGUAUUUCGGUAUGUAAAGCUCUAUCAGCAGGGAAGAAAAUGACGGUACCUGACGAAGAAGCACCGGCUAAAUACGUG
rnacentral:rRNA from 1 species